AUUGAACGCUGGCGGCAGGCUUAACACAUGCAAGUCGAGCGGGGGAAGGUAGCUUGCUACUGGACCUAGCGGCGGACGGGUGAGUAAUGCUUAGGAAUCUGCCUAUUAGUGGGGGACAACAUCUCGAAAGGGAUGCUAAUACCGCAUACGUCCUACGGGAGAAAGCAGGGGAUAGUCGGACCGUGCGCUAAUAGAUGAGACUAAGUCGGAUUAGCUAGUUGGUGGGGUAAAGGCCUACCAAGGCGACGAUCUGUAGAGGGUCUGAGAGGAUGAUCCGCCACACUGGGACUGAGACACGGCCCAGACUCCUAUGGGAGGCAGCAGUGGGGAAUAUUGGACAAUGGGGGGAACCCUGAUCCAGCCAUGCCGCGUGUGUGAAGAAGGCCUUAUGGUUGUAAAGCACUUUAAGCGAGGAGGAGGCUACUCUAGUUAAUACCUAGGGAUAGUGGACGUUACUCGCAAAAUAAGCACCGGCUAACUCUGUGCCAGCCGCCGCGGUAA
rnacentral:rRNA from 1 species